GAUGAACGCUAGCUACAGGCUUAACACAUGCAAGUCGUGGGGCAUCAUGAUGUAGUAAUACAUUGAUGGCGACCGGCGCACGGGUGAGUAACGCGUAUCCAACCUACCCUCCACUCAAGUAUAGGCUUCCGAAAGGGAGAUUAAUCCUUGAUAUCGUCAUUCUCUCUCCUGUUAGAAUGAUAAAAGGACAUCGUUUCGGUAGAGGAUGGGGAUGCGUUCCAUUAGGUAGUAGGUGGUUUAACAGGCCACCUAGCCGAUGAUGGAUAGGGGUUCUGAGAGGAAUAUCCCCCACACUGGUACUGAGAUACGGACCAGACUCCUACGGGAGGCAGCAGUGAGGAAUAUUGGUCAAUGGGCGCAAGCCUGAACCAGCCAUGUAGCGUGAAGGAUGACGGUUUUUUUGAUUGUAAACUUCUUUUCUGUGCGAUUAAAGUGUGGCAUUUAUGCCAUAUUGCAGUAUCUCAGGAA
rnacentral:rRNA from 1 species